CCUGAGCCUUGUACACACCGCCCGUCAAGUCAUGGGAGCCGGAAAUGGCCGAAGUUGCCGCAACACAGCGGUACCUACGCCAGGUUCGGUGACUGGGACU
rnacentral:rRNA from 1 species